rnacentral:lncRNA from 1 species
GAAGAUAUUUAGGCAUGUGAGUAAAUAUCCACCUAAAUUCAAAGAAGACCGGAAGCAAAUCUUGAAUAUUGAAGCAGUCGUAAAGUAUAAAAGAAAUAACCUACAAAAGGGAAAGAUAAAAUGAUCUGUAGUUCUGUACUAACAUGGAUACCACUGUAGUUUUAAGAAAAUAAAUAUAAUAUUGAAUUCACAUUGGCUAGAAGUUUUAUCUCCACAUUGCAUUGAAAAGCACAGUGGUACCUUCACAUUGGCACAUCAUCAAUAGACUUCAUCUCAGGAGAAGUGAGGAAAUCAGGAACCUAUUUCAAAAUAUGGAAACCGCCCAUAAGUAACAUGAUCAAGUAAAGAAAAUUUAAACACACUAUCAUGCCAAUUUAGGAACAUUAUACCAUUCAUUACUAAUCGCACUAUCAUUUUCUCUAUUCAGAAGACUUUGCUUAGCAGGAGAGGCCUAUGACAUCAUAUCUACCAGCACUUGCUAACUAAUAUUUUCUCCAGAAGUGCAUGCAAAAAAGUUUAUACAAGCUGAUUCUCUCCUAGAUGCUUGGCAAAAAUGUCAUUUUGUAAAUCGUAAUCCCUUCACCUUAGUAAUUACGGGAUGAACUAACAUAAAUGAACCAUACUAACAUUUGGCAAAGUCUAUUGAGAUUACAAAUAUAGGAAUCAUCUAUCUAUAGAAAAAUAUUGAUAGAUCGCACAAGGGUAAGCUUAGCAUCACACUCGAUCUGGACCUCGCUGUUGUAACCAAUUAGAAGCGCCCCAAAUAUUUCCUAAAUAGCAGUUUUUUGCUACUCAGCGGCACCCAAUUUCAUCUAAAACUAAUUUGUUUGCCUCCCAAAGUGUAACAAGAUCACCAAACACACACACACACACACACACACACACACACACACACACACACACGGCAGCCUGGAAUCACCAGCAACCACAUCGAUUCAAUCCAGGGGGUGCGUGGUAGGUCGUGGGGAGAAGGUAGAUGGAAGAGAUCUUACUCUGCCGAAUAUGAGGUGGAGAAGGACCUCGAGCGGGGAUGCCACUGGGAGCCGAGUUUCGGCGCCGGCCCACCCAAGGACGGCUGGCGAUGGGCUUCGACAGCGGCUGCUCCAGAGCUCAGCGGCGCAUGGCAGCGGCGAGCC